rnacentral:rRNA from 1 species
UUACGAAAAUUUCGCAAUAAGCGCAAGCUUGACGGAGCCAUCCCGAGUGCCGUCCGCUGAGGAUGGCUUUUACCUAGUGUAGAUAUCUGGGGGAAUAAGGAGAGGGCAAGUCUGGUGUCAGCCGCCGCGGUAAUACCAGCUCUCCGAGUGGUGUGGAUGAUUACUGGGCCUAAAGCAUCCGUAGCUGGCUGGACAAGUCCCCUGUUAAACCCAGCGAUUCAAUCGUUGGUCUGCGGGGGAUACUGUUCGGCUAGGGGGCGAGAGAGGCCGUCGGUAUUCUCGGGGUAGGGGUGAAAUCCUAUAAUCCCGGGAAGACCACCAGUGGCGAAGGCUGUCGGCUAGAACGCGCUCGACGGUGAGGGAUGAAAGCUGGGGGAGCGAACCGGAUUAGAUACCCGGGUAGUCCCAGCUGUAAACGAUGCAGGCUAGGUGUUAGGGCGGCUACGUGCCGCUCUGGUGCCGCAGGGAAGCUGUUAAGCCUGCCGCCUGGGGAUACGGUCGCAAGGCUGAAACUUAAGGAAGUU